rnacentral:rRNA from 1 species
AUGACCGACGGCGGCGACCCCGGCGUCUGCGACGAGUGCGUCGAGGCGUGCUGGCUGGCGUGCUGCUGCGCCUUUUUCCUGGACGCCAUCGGCGGCAAGGCGCUCACCCGCGUCGCCUGCGCGCUCGUCGCCUUCGCCGUCCUCGCCGUCGGGGUCACGCUGCUCGCCCGCCACCACGUCUACCGCCCGCCCCUCGGCGUCACCGUCGAGGACGCCGCCCUCGCCCGCCUCGCCCUCGCCGACCGCAACGCCACGGCCACCGCGCUCGCCUACGACGUCUCGCUCGCCGUCGCCCUGCACAACCACCACUGGCUCAGGCGCGCCCUGCACACCGCGCCGCUCGACGCCGAGCUGCUCUUCGCCGGUGCGCGCUUCGCCCGCGUCGAGCUGGCCGGCAAGGGGGCCGCGGUCCGGGCGGGGAACUCGGAGGCGUACCGCGCCGUGGCCGCGGCCGACAGGGCGGGCGUCGCGCUCGGGAGCGCGGGGGUGGCCGAGUUCGUCAGGGAGAGCACCGCAGGGGUGUUCCGGCUGGAGCUCAAGGUUGUCGGAGAGCUUAGGUUCCCGCCGGGCCGCCACCUGCAGAGACUGGACGCGGUUUGCCCGCUGGAGUUGCCUCUGUCAACGGCCACGUCGCCGGCCACGUUCAGAAAGGUCAAGUGCGCCGUUUUUACUAGCUAG